AAUUGCUUCUAAGUUUAGAGCCAGAUUUUCCGCCAUUGCUUUUGUCAGAAAGUUUGACAGUACAGCAUCUCUAUCCUCUAGCAAAUUGUGAUUUUGUGCAAGUCCGGAGAGUCAAUAUGGUAACUAUAAACGAGGCUUGUUUAAAGCUACCUUUCUUUUUUCUGCUGCACUGAUAUUGAACCGCCUUAUAGCAGUUAGUUUGUUGAUUGCUUCAUUUGGAUGUCAAGAUCAAUAGCAUCAUACUGCUGUAACUAUAGUAGAUAAAAUGCACUGGACAUGGAAGGGAAAGAAUCAAUAGUGAUGCUUAUUGUGGCUGUAAGAUGUAUUAAUCUGGUGUUUGAUGUGAGAAUUUGAGAGAUCAAUCCUAAAACGUUGCAGACUCAUAGUUCUUUUCAGGGAUUCUACUAUAGAGUUAGUAGACAACGUUUUCAGAUUAU
rnacentral:lncRNA from 1 species